AAGGGUGAAGUAUAAAAUUUUACAUUUCAGUUACAUUGAAAAAAUCCAUAUUGUAGGCAUCCUUA
rnacentral:tRNA from 1 species